rnacentral:lncRNA from 1 species
GCCGACACCAUAGAGGUGGGCCUUUGGCGACGUCAGAGGCGCGGGUGUUCGGCUGCGUCACUGGGGCGCUAUGGUGCCUGGAGCUGGGCAGUUUUCUCGUCAGAGUGGGGACUGGUAAGAGCGACCUCCCCGCCAGGUCCUGUGUGUUGCCGGCUGAAGAAGGGUAGCUGAAAAAUUCAGACCCAGCACAGUGUUUAUGUUGGUCAAAAAUAGAAAACUAUGUCUGGCGCGGCCGAGGCGGGAGGACCCUUCAGGCCAAGAGCAGCGUAGCAACAUGGCGCAACCCCAUCUCUGUAGUCCUACCUCAGCCCCCCAGCUACUUGAACCCAAAGGUUCAAGGCUCCAGUGAGCUAUGAUCCCACCACAGCAUUCCAGCCUGCGAGAUUGAGGUAAACCCUGUCUAAAAAAA